AUUGAACGCUGGCGGCAGGCCUAACACAUGCAAGUCGAACGAGUGGCGGACGGGUGAGUAAUGUCUGGGAAACUGCCUGAUGGAGGGGGAUAACUACUGGAAACGGUAGCUAAUACCGCAUACCAUCGGAUGUGCCCCGAUGGGAUUAGCUAGUAGGUGGGGUAACGGCUCACCUAGGAGACGAUCCCUAGCUGGUCUGAGAGGAUGACCAGCCACACUGUAACUGAGACACGGUCCAGAACCCGACGGAAGGCAGCAGUGGGGAAUAUUGCACAAUGGGCGAAAGCCUGAUGCAGCCAUGCCGCGUGUAUGAAGAAGGCCUUCGGGUUGUAAAGGACUGUCAGCGGGGAGGCGUUACCCGCAGAAGAAGCACCGGCUAACUCCGUGCCAGCCGCCGCGGUAAUAC
rnacentral:rRNA from 1 species